AAGUAAAGCUUUAAUCUUUAUCACAUUUAGCCAAAAUCGAAUUGUAAAUAAACAUACUUAUUCAUAAUUACACUUUAAUUGGAGAAUAAUCACGGUAUCAUUUCAAUAAACGGAGUUAAAUUUUAAUAUCUUUACAAAGAAAUCGAGAGACAUACUAAUCCUGGAAUUGAGGAAUGGCUGGUCAUCCAAGUCGAGCCGGCGACUAGGCGAGGCCAUGGGGACGGCGACCGACAUGUCGUUCUCUAGGGAAAGCUUUCGGCGGGCUCUGCAUCAGUGACGAGUUCUUAUGUGGGCGCCGGACAGAAGACGGUUGCGAUUUCGAAGAAGAGGGCGCCGGGGCUUUGGAGAGAGAAAUGAGUAGUUUGGAGAUUUCAGAGAAACCGCCGAAGGAAUCGAAUGGGUGAGAUUGGGUGGUUGGUGGUAUCAGAUCUGGAAUUGGUAUAUAGAUUGGGUUUAAGAUAGAGUUGGUUCUGAUAACAAAUUUGAGAGUAAUAUUAAAUAUAUUAACCUACAACAUUCAUAUAGUUUGAGUUUUCUAACAGAUGUAUGAAAUUGAAAUAAAAUAGUAGGUGAGGUAUAAAGGUAAAAUAUUUUAAAGAUAUUGUAAGGAAUUGAAAUCGACUCUAAAUUUGAGAGGGCAAAAUAUAAUUUAGCCCUAUUUAAACUUUUCUAAUGAUUAUAAAUGAGAUGGUAAACAUCGCUUUAGGGUGAUGAUCUAAAAUAUUCCCUAUUUUGUGAGCUAAACGCUAUUAAAAUUCAAGGGCGUGUUAGAAAAUAUAAUUUCCUUCGUAAAAACACUUUCACCCAAAAAAACAUGAUUGCAUGAUUCCGAAUACCAAACUUAAAUUUGGGCCUGUUGAGGCCGAAAUUGGGCUUUGAUUUGCUCCUUCAAUCUCUUACAUGAAUCCCUUUGAGCUGCAG
rnacentral:lncRNA from 1 species